rnacentral:sRNA from 1 species
CUAGCCCUUGGUCUAGUUUCAUAUCAGACACAAGUGAGGUCAUCAGCCCUCAGCCUGACGAGGUGCAGAGGGAAGGCCCCUCUUGUCCUUCUCCAGGGCCUUUCUGCAGAGAGGAGCUUAUGGUCAAAAGUAGCUUUCUCUCCAGCCCAGAAAGGGCUGUCAACCCCCACCUGCCUAGGCAGGGUUCUCCUAGCCAAAGUCUUGUUGCUUGUGAGUGUGAGGCCUCUAAGGCCACGGUUGCUGGCGAGUCUGCCUCAGCCAACCCUCAGCCGAUCCCAUGCCCGACACUCUCAGGAGCUCAACAGAGCAGCACGUUUGUUGGAUGGAGCUCACCACAGGCAGAUCAGAACAAGGAGCCUGAGUCAGAGGCCCCAGCUGAGAAUGAAGCUGCCACCAGUGAGCUCAGUGACUCUGCUGAUAGCUUCAAGAAGUUGCCGCUAAAUCUAGCCUCCCAGAGCAGAAGGGAAAACCAUAAGGGACCACCCAUCGACUCCUCUGACAUCAGGCAGAGGCAGGUGACAACUGGAUCAGAGACGUCCACAAAGCAGAGCCUCCUGCUCCCAGGGCCCAUUGUGGUGCCCAACUUCUUUUUGCCUCCCCAGCAGUUGGAGGCUUCCCUGCGGAUGCUCUCACUCUCAGCAACGUUGCCACCAGCAGCCACAACAGAUCAGGUCUGCAGCCAGAAGUGUGGGAGUAUUUCAGAGGAAUGGAUGAUACAUUUGAGGGUAUCCCUGCUCUGGCCAAUUUCGCCUCUGGCCAACCCCACCAGGGUUGUGUGUUAGGGUAGCAGUCCUGAUGAAGGAAGAAUCUUCACUACUAGUCAAGAUGGUUUCUAAACCCUAUUGAAGUCAACAAAAGCAAAAUGCUGCUGAGUGACAAGAGCGAAGCCACCAGGGGAGCCCUCUCCCAAAGGCCUUGUCGCCCCAGACCUAACUCGCUCCCCCCCAACCUGCCUG